CUUUAGAAUUUUUUUGCCUGCCUGGACUUUGUCAAGUUUUAUUCUUUCUGGUAUAGUAUAUUCAUAUUGAUAUAUCAUGUCAAACUGUAUUCAGAGAGAGAGAGAGAGAGAGAGAGAGAGAGAGAGACUGUGCAUGGUAUUCUCUACUCCAGGGUAUCAUAUGGUUUCCGGAUAUGCAAAAUUGUAAUAUAUAUGUCGUCAAAAUUUGUUCAGCUAUCUCAACUUAUUGUCGCUGAUGACAUUUUUUUAGCUUGCGAAGGUGAUGAAAAAUCAGUAUCUACUGUUCCUAAUUUAGUUAGUCAAUUCUCUGCAAUGUCAGGCCGUUAACCAAAGACGAGGAAAAGCUAAUGUUGUUUUGGCAAUGUCUUUAGUAGCACUAUUCAGUCUGCAGUGCAGCAGUCCGGCUUUCAACAAGGGUAAUUUCCUACAAAAUAUCCUGGCUGACCACUCAUCCCAAGCAGGUUGAAAAACGCACACUGCAUCUCUCAUCACCAGACUUUACUCCAAAUGUUUGUUCUUGGACUUCAUGCUUUCUGACUACCUCUGGCAGGUUGCAACUAAUCAAGGCCAUUCUUAUUAUAUUGCUGAUUAGAUGCCUGUAUGAUUUCACAUAUAUGGGAUUUUUUUGGUAGAGCUUUAGUUAUAUGCUUUACUAUGCUCAUUUACAUAGGUUUAUUUUCUAUAAUAGAACAACUUACAAAUUAAUUUUCAUCUAACAAAAUAAGUGAAAGUUAUUUCCAACAAUUUGCGCGGUUGUUCCGUCCAAAAACUUCUAAAUAUUGCAUUUUUAAGUAAAUACACAAUUUUUCAGGAACUUCUUAUGCUGUAGUGAGUUGACGUUUUGAAUUGGAGAUGUUGAAUGCAGAGUGUAAUUAUUUGAGAAUGGAAAGUAGGUUUUUUUGAACAAGUAGGGGAGAAUAGAGUUAAGAUGGAAAUGACUCUUCAUUCAGCUGUCAGUCUUGAUACUUCUCUUUCUGUAAGUACUAUAUAUAUUUUGUUAACUAAUUUGACUUGCACUCAUAACUGCUAAGUUCAUCUUUGAAAGUUAUGUUUUCUUAAUAUGCAUUUUCUGUUCUUUGUUUUAAGUUAUCAAUAAAUCAAAUUGAAUAUAAUUAGAAUUUUCCACUGCGAAGUUCAAACCAGACAUAUGAAAUGCACAGUAUUACGUGGGAAUUCUACUCUUUUUUGUUGAAGUGAAUAAUAUUUAAGUUAUCUUUUUAGUUAUCUGUUGAAAAUGUAAAAAACUGGCCAUUCUUAUUAUAUUGCUGAUUAGAUGCCUGUAUGAUUUCACAUAUAUGGGAUUUUUUUGGUAGAGCUUUAGUUAUAUGCUUUACUAUGCUCAUUUACAUAGGUUUAUUUUCUAUAAUAGAACAACUUACAAAUUAAUUUUCAGCUAACAAAAUAAGUGAAAGUUAUUUCCAACAAUUUGCGCGGUUGUUCCGUCCAAAAACUUCUAAAUAUUGCAUUUUUAAGUAAAUACACAAUUUUUCAGGAACUUCUUAUGCUGUAGUGAGUUGACGUUUUGAAUUGGAGAUGUUGAAUGCAGAGUGUAAUUAUUUGAGAAUGGAAAGUAGGUUUUUUUGAACAAGUCGGGGAGAAUAGAGUUAAGAUGGAAAUGACUCUUCAUUCAGCUGUCAGUCUUGAUACUUCUCUUUCUAUUUCUCUGAUCAUAUCACUAGUCAUAUGAUCAUCAUUACUCUCAAGCUUCAGUGCGGUGAUAGAUUUGAUGAUUUAUCUCCGGGGAAGGAAAAAUAGGAUGUCUUCAGUGAGAUUGGUGUAUGUUGUUUGUAUCUAACGGAUUCACAUGCUCUGCUCUUCAUUAGCGAUUGGAUACUUUACUCUGCUCAAGGCACAUGCUCUCAAGCGUUCUAGUCAUGUCACCGGGUGGCGGGCAUAGUUCUCGUGAUCCAUUGCUUAGAUGGUCGUUAGCGGGUACUUAUGGUAGCAGAAUGUCACCGGGUGAAGACUGUAAUGUGAACCUCUGCAACAGUCUUUGUGUACCAGAGGGAGAGGAGAGCGAUCUGAUCAUUUGCAGCUAUAGUUGGAAUAACUUGUUUAGCGUGAUUUAUGGCAUGUGGUUGAAAUGUGUGAUGUUUUUCUUUUAAUUCACAACUAAAUUUAUGAGAUUCUUGAGCCCAUUUACAUCAAAUAAUGCACUCUUCAUGGAA